rnacentral:lncRNA from 1 species
ACAAGUCACCACCACCACCGGCUCCAACCUAUGUCUACAAAUCUCCACCACCACCAACUCCGACUUACGUCUACAAGUCGCCGCCUCCUCCAACCCCAACAUAUGUCUACAAAUCGCCUCCUCCUCCUACCCCAACAUACGUAUACAAGUCUCCUCCACCACCAACUCCAACUUACGUAUACAAAUCACCACCACCGCCGACUCCAACUUACGUCUACAAGUCGCCUCCUCCACCUACGCCAACCUAUGUCUAUAAAUCUCCACCGCCACCAACCCCGACUUAUGUUUACAAGUCACCACCACCUCCGACUCCGACAUACAUUUACAAGUCUCCACCACCUCCUACUCCGACUUAUGUCUACAAGUCACCACCUCCACCAACCCCUACAUAUGUCUAUAAGUCACCACCUCCACCCACUCCGACCUACGUCUACAAGUCACCACCACCUCCAACUCACACUCCUACACCAUACUACUACCAUUCUCCACCACCACCAGUAAAAUCCCCUCCACCUCCUUAUUACUACCACUCACCACCACCACCGGUUAAAUCUCCACCACCACCAUACUACUAUCAUUCACCACCUCCUCUGGUGAAGUCUCCUCCACCACCAUACUAUUACCAUUCACCACCACCUCCAGUAAAAUCUCCUCCCCCCCCAUACUACUAUCACUCCCCACCUCCUCCAGUGAAGUCUCCUCCGCCACCUUACUAUUAUCACUCCCCACCUCCUCCAGUAAAAUCACCACCACCACCAUAUUAUUACCACUCUCCACCUCCUCCCGUGAAAUCCCCCCCACCUCCAUACUACUACCACUCACCACCCCCUCCGGUAAAAUCACCCCCACCACCAUAUUACUAUCACUCCCCACCUCCACCAGUGAAAUCCCCACCACCACCGUACUACUACCAUUCUCCACCCCCACCGGUAAAAUCUCCGCCACCACCAUACUAUUACCACUCCCCACCUCCUCCGGUGAAAUCUCUACCACCACCGUACUAUUACCAUUCACCACCUCCUCCGGUGAAAUCUCCUCCUCCACCAUACUACUAUCACUCACCUCCUCCACCAGUAAAAUCUCCUCCGCCACCGUACUAUUACCACUCUCCACCUCCUCCAGUGAAGUCGCCUCCACCUCCUUAUUACUACCACUCACCUCCUCCUCCGGUGAAAUCCCCACCACCACCAUAUUAUUACCACUCACCACCCCCACCCGUCAAAUCUCCUCCACCUCCAUAUUAUUACCACUCACCACCUCCUCCGGUGAAAUCUCCACCACCACCAUAUUAUUACCACUCACCUCCUCCUCCGGUGAAAUCUCCACCACCACCAUAUUACUACCAUUCACCUCCCCCUCCAGUCAAAUCUCCACCACCACCAUAUUACUACCAUUCACCUCCCCCUCCAGUGAAAUCCCCACCACCACCAUAUUACUACCAUUCACCACCUCCUCCAGUGAAAUCUCCACCACCACCAUACUACUACAACUCUCCACCACCACCAGUAAAAUCUCCCCCACCUCCCGUCUACAUCUACGCUUCUCCCCCACCUCCUACCCAUUACUAGGCUCGUCAAAUUCAACCAAGUUUCCCCAUUAUUCAAGUAAGUCCCAAGGCUCCAAUAUUCUAAGUAUGCUCCAUAUC